UGCUGAAUUAUUCGCCAAUGCGCGAAAGCGUGACGGUGCGACGCCGCGUGCGGGACGAAGGCCUUCGGGUUGUAAACCGCUGUCAAGGUAUAGAAAACCGUCGGAGUUAAUAGCUCCGGCGCUGAUCCUACCUAAAGGAAGCACAGGCUAACCUCGUGCCAGCAGCCGCGGUAAUACGAGGUGUGCGAGCGUAGUUCGGAAUCACUGGGCAUAAAGGGUGCGUAGGCGGUGCGCCAAGUCGGGUGUGAAAUCCCUUCGCUUAA
rnacentral:rRNA from 1 species